UGAAACACGAUAGUGGGCCAGGAUUUCCUGUUUUCUAACACCGGAACAUGUGUAGAAGAUGCCAGAUCAUGUUCAUUUAAAUCUCAAUUUUGGUUAAUCAGAAUUGUAGUUUUGCUCAUUUGUAUUGUAACAUGAAAACAGUUACAUCUGGGGUAAAUAUUGCAAUAAUUUACUGCCAAGUGUUGGUGAGAAUCAUACCUGAUAUUGGAGGACAUUACAAGGAUCAAGAUGGGGACAAUUCUACUCUUUAUGGCAUUAGGUGCCCUUCUUUGCGAGGAACUGGAAAACAUCCCUAGCCUUUGUGGUUGAAUCUGUGUUUGAAAUUCACUGCUCGACUGAGGGACCUUACAGAUAAUUGUGUUGUCAUGCAGAAGCCUUCACUCUCCACAGACCAAUCCUAUUCUUCCUUCUUGCAUGGAGAGGAGAUCCAACUCACCUGCACUCUUCCAUCCCGUAACCUCUGUAAUGCUGUGGAGUUCAUCUUCUAUCUGAAUGGAGACUCCAUCAUGACCGUGCCCAUUGGAUCCUCACAGCCCAGGCCUACUUUAAAUCAAA